GUUGUCGUGAUGAUGGAAUUUGCAGUUGAGAAUAUGGGGAUACAUGUCUUUACAACUAAAAUUGGGGAUUUAAAUUAAGCUUCUCUUCAUAUGUUUCAAAAACUGGGAUUCGAAAAAGUUUCCCACAGUCAUGUUUUCAAAGAGAAAUGACGCUUUCAACUGAGUGUGUCUAACACUCAACAAGGAAAGUAGGUUGGACCUGUCUCAAAAUAUACAAUAUCAUCAAAGAAAGUAAGUUGUAUCAUGUCUCAAACUAUUGUUAGUUCAUUAUUCAUAAUUACAUGCAUAUUUCCUAAUUUUAAACUAAUAAUUUUGAAUGAUGUCUUGGAAGCCUAAGAACUGAUGUAUUCAUGAAUGUUAAAAUGGAGGUUGAAGCCUCAAGCUCACUUCAAUCGGACAUGUCUUAUAUAGGAGGAAGAUGAGAAUUCUAAAUUGAAUCUCUGUUGCCAUCAAAUCACAUUACGUCGACAAUUGUUGGAUGCCUUGGUGGUGAAGAUGGUGAGUUUAGUUGUUUUGUUAUCCAAAUUAGACUAUAGGAAAAAUAAACUUGGUUUAGUAAUGAUAGCAUUUUUGCUGUAAACAAAGACGAGCAUGAAUGUUGUUUGGUUUUGGCUAGAGAAAGAAAAGGCACACAAA